UUACCAAUCAGAGUUUAUUGACAAAGUCGUGUCUAAUAUUUAUACAAAUUUGUGAACCAUAGUGACCAGACGCACUAGACCAUUUGGACUCUUAAGACAUCAGACGCAAGUUUUCCGUAAGAAAAGUACAAUGGCGGACAAAACUGGAGAAAUUGAUUUGGUGAAUAGGGAUCCUAACGGCCUUAACAGUCAUCUCGGGAUCUUGCCUUAACAACCUCUUUCGAUAUUUGGGUGUGAAUGUAUUUUCAGGACCCUACUUUUCAAUGACGUCAUUGGAGAACCGGAUGGGACCCACAGUAUCGACUGCGUCUUCAAACUGUCCAACACCUGCUUUGAGUUAUGGAAGGGUCUGUGCUACAAGUUGCUGA